UCAUGGUUGCUCAGUUGGUAGAGAAUCCACCUGCAGUGUGGAAGACCUGGGUUCAAUCCCUGGAUUGGGAA
rnacentral:tRNA from 1 species